GGAGAGUUGUCCGAGUGGUUUAAGGUGCAGUCUUGGAAAGGCUGUGUAGUGAAAGCUACCAUGAGUUCGAAUCUCAUACUCUCCG
rfam:Firmicutes bacterium CAG:308 genomic scaffold, scf15